GAUGAAGAACGUAGCGAAAUGCGAUAAGUAAUGUGAAUUGCAGAAUUCAGUGAAUCACCGAAUCUUUGAACGCACAUUGCGCCCGCCAGUAUUCUGGCGGGCAUGCCUGUUCGAGCGUCAUUACAACCCUCAGGCCCCCGGGCCUGGCGUUGGGGAUCGGCGGAGCCCCCCGUGGGCACACGCCGUCCCCCAAAUGCAGUGGCGGUCCCGCCGCAGCUUCCAUCGCGUAGUAGCUAACACCUCGCGACUGGAGAGCGGCGCGGCCACGCCGUAAAACACCCAACUCUUCUGAAGUUGACCUCGAAUCAGGUAGGAAUACCCGCUGAACUUAAGCAUAUCAAUAAGCGGAGGA
rnacentral:misc_RNA from 1 species